UCAAGUUAUUAAGGGUGCAGGGCGGAUGCCUUGGCACUAGGAGCCGAUGAAGGACGUGAUAAGCUGCGAUAAGCUUCGGGGAGUUGCACGUAAACUUUGAUCCGAAGAUUUCCGAAUGAGGAAACUCACUUAGAGUAAUGUCUAAGUAUCAUUAAGUGAAUACAUAGCUUAAUGAGGGGAACUCAGGGAACUGAAACAUCUAAGUACCUGAAGGAAGAGAAAGAAAUUCGAUUCCGUAAGUAGCGGCGAGCGAACGCGGAUUAGCCCAAACCAAUAAAGUUUUCUUUAUUGGGGUUGAGGACAUACCACAUAUAAGAGGUCAUUAUAGACGAAGAAGUUUGGAAAAACUCAUCAUAGAAGGUAAUAAUCCUGUAGUCAAAAUAAUAAUUCUUUAGGUAUGAUCCAGAGUACCACGGGACACGUGAAACCCUGUGGGAAGCAGGAGGGACCACCCUCCAAGGCUAAAUACUACCUAGUGACCGAUAGCGUAUAGUACCGUGAGGGAAAGGUGAAAAGAACCCCGGGAGGGGAGUGAAAUAGAACCUGAAACCCUGCACUUACAAGCUGUGGAAGCACAUUUCUUGUGUGACCGCGUACUUUUUGUAGAACGGGCCAACGAGUUACGUUAAGUAGCAAGGUUAAGCACUUAAGGUGCGGAGCCGUAGCGAAAGCGAGUUUUAACUGAGCGUUCAGUUACUUGACGUAGACCCGAAACCGGGCGACCUACCCAUGAGCAGGAUGAAGCGAAAGUAAAAUUUCGUGGAGGUCCGAACCCACGAGCGUUGAAAAGCUCGGGGAUGACUUGUGGGUAGCGGUGAAAUUCAAUCGAGCCCGGAGAUAGCUGGUUCUCCCCGAAAUAGCUUUAGGGCUAGCCUCAAGGUGAGAGAUACGGAGGUAGAGCACUGAAUGUCCUAGGGGGUAUUGCACCUACCGAAGACUAUCAAACUCCGAAUGCCGUCAUCUUAUACUUGGGAGUCAGACUGUGGGUGAUAAGAUUCAUAGUCGAAAGGGCAACAGCCCAGAUCGUCAGCUAAGGUCCCUAAAUGUAAGUUAAGUGGUAAAGGAUGUGGGAUUGCACAGACAACCAGGAUGUUGGCUUAGAAGCAGCCACUCAUUCAAAGAGUGCGUAAUAGCUCACUGGUCGAGUGAUCCUGCGCCGAAGAUUUCCGGGGCUAAAACUUACUACCGAAGCUACGGCAUCAGUAAUGAUGGGUAGGGGAGCUUCCCAUACGGGUUGAAGCAUGACCGUAAGGACAUGUGGACAGUAUGGGAGUGAGAAUGUUGGCAUGAGUAGCGAGAUGUGGGUGAGAAUCCCACAGGCCGUAAACCCAAGGUUUCCAGGGGAAGGUUCGUCCGCCUGGGUUAGUCGGGACCUAAGCUGAGGCCGAAAGGCGUAGGUGAUGGACAACAGGUUGAUAUUCCUGUACUACCGAUAACCGUUUGAGAGAAGGGAUGACACAGUAGGAUAAGCUAAGCACACUGUUGGUUAUGUGUGCCCAAGCAUUGAGGCAGUCAAAGUAGGCAAAUCCGCUUUGAUAAUGCUGGGAUGUGAUGGGGAGCGAAAUUUAGUAGCGAAGUAGCUGAUUUCACACUGUCAAGAAAAGUCUCUAUCGAGGUUAAAGGUACCCGUACCGCAAACCGACACAGGUGGGUGAGGAGAGUAUCCUAAGGCCAGCGAGAGAACUGUUGUUAAGGAACUCGGCAAAAUGACCCCGUAACUUUAGGAUAAGGGGUGCCACCAUCAGGUGGCCGCAGAGAAUAGGCCCAAGCGACUGUUUACCAAAAACAUAGGUUUCUGCUAAGUCGCAAGACGAUGUAUAGGAGCUGACGCCUGCCCGGUGCUGGAAGGUUAAGGGGAUCUGUUAGAGCAAUCGAAGCAGUGAACUUAAGCCCCAGUAAACGGCGGCCGUAACUAUAACGGUCCUAAGGUAGCGAAAUUCCUUGUCGGGUAAGUUCCGACCCGCACGAAAGGCGUAACGAUUUGGGCACUGUCUCAACAACAGACUCGGUGAAAUUGUAAUUCCGGUGAAGAUGCCGGAUACCUGCGACAGGACGGAAAGACCCCAUGGAGCUUUACUGUAGCUUGACAUUGGGUCUUGGUACUACAUGUACAGGAUAGGUGGGAGGCUUUGAAACCAGGACGCCAGUUUUGGCGGAGCCAUCCUUGGGAUACCACCCUUGUAGUACUGGGACUCUAACCAUAGGCCAUGAAUCUGGUCUUGGGACACUGUCAGGUGGGCAGUUUGACUGGGGCGGUCGCCUCCCAAAAGGUAACGGAGGCGCUCAAAGGUUCUCUCAGUACGGUCGGAAAUCGUACGUAGAGUGUAAAGGCAAAAGAGAGCUUGAUUGCAAGACAUACAGGUCGAGCAAGGAUGAAAAUCGGACUUAGUGAUCCGGUGUUCUGCGUGGAAGGGCCAUCGCUCAACGGAUAAAAGCUACCCUGGGGAUAACAGGCUUAUCUCCCCCAAGAGUCCACAUCGACGGGGAGGUUUGGCACCUCGAUGUCGGCUCAUCACAUCCUGGGGCUGUAGUAGGUCCCAAGGGUUGGGCUGUUCGCCCAUUAAAGUGGUACGCGAGCUGGGUUCAGAACGUCGUGAGACAGUUCGGUCCCUAUCCGUCGCAGGCGUAGGAAAUUUGAGAAGACCUGUCCUUAGUACGAGAGGACCGGGAUGGACGUACCUCUGGUGUACCAGUUUGUCCUGCCAAGGGCAUGGCUGGGUAGCUAUGUACGGAAUGGAUAAGCGCUGAAAGCAUCUAAGCGCGAAGCCAACUUCAAGAUAAGAUUUCCCACCGCAAGGGUAAGACCCCAGAAAGACUAUCUGGUUGAUAGGUCGAAGGUGUAAGUGCAGCAAUGUAUUUAGCUUAUCGAUACUAAUAGGUCGAGGACUUGACCAA
rnacentral:rRNA from 1 species